UACGGAGGGUGCAAGCGUUGUCCGGAUUUAUUGGGUUUAAAGGGUGCGUAGGUGGCCGUUUAAGUCAGCUUUGAAAGCUGGUCGCUCAACGAUCAGGGGUGGGUUGAUACUGGACGGCUUGGAUCAGGUGGCGGUUUCUGGAACGGGUCGUGUAGCGGUGAAAUGCAUAGAUAUUGGGAGGAACGCCGAAGGUGAAAACAGGCUGCUGGGGUUGCGCCGACGCUGAGACACGAAAGCCAGGGGAGCAAACGGG
rnacentral:rRNA from 1 species